rnacentral:rRNA from 1 species
AUGGUUUGCCUAGUUUGUCGUUGUCCUGGCGCCCCAUGCUUUCCAUUUGUGCCAGCCGAUGAAGUCCCAGAAGUUUUCGAUGUUAUCCUUGAUGAGUAUUGCUUUAGGAGGAUGUACAUACCAUGCAAUGUGAGGGGUUUCUUAGCUGAUUAUAUCGAGGAGCACAUGAAUAUUGCAACAACUUUCAAGCACAAGAGGACUGAGCCUGCUAUUCUCACUAUGAGAGUAGGUCUUAUGCUUCAGACUUUAAGCAUCGAGGUAACUACUCAAAGUUUUGUGGCAGUGCUUGGUUUGAGUUCAGCAAUGAUUAUGCCCUUCGCGCUGGAGAUCGUGUGGUCUUUACUCUGGACAACUCAUGCUUUGACAUCAAAGUAG